UCCGUAGGUGAACCUGCGGAAGGAUCACUA
rnacentral:rRNA from 5 species